GGCGAGAUAGCUCAGUUGGUUAGAGCGCAGGAUUCAUAACCCUGAGGUCGGCAGUUCAAAUCUGCUUCUCGCUACUA
rnacentral:tRNA from 2 species